UGAACUGCUGCAAUGAAUUUCAUAAAUGAUAUUAGUUGAGAUGAAGUAGAUGUGAUUUCAUAAUCUGAUGGACUUUGUAUAUUUAAAAAAAGUCCAAAUAUUAAUCAUAUUUGAGGAUGUACUUAUGGGUUGUUGAUGUCAAGCCGUUUUGUACCUCAGGAAUCUAGAGACGACUUAAAUUGUUGACUUUUCAGACAUUGAAAGUAGGAUACUCUCUCUAGAGCUAGAAGCCUUGUUCAGGAGUUUAAGUGAUGCCGUGAAUUGAAUGCAGUAUUUUCAUCGGUAGGCAUUCAUGAAGUCACCAGCCCUUAGAUUUAUAAUGAAAGUAAUUUGCACAGUAAAUAUAUACCGGUACAUGUAUCAUGCGUGGUUAAUAUAACUAUGCAUGUAGUUUACAUUGUUUUUUGUGCAUAUUGUUUACCAUAUAGCUUUUAAUUGAAAAUAAAAUUGUUAUAGUAU
rnacentral:misc_RNA from 1 species